rnacentral:lncRNA from 1 species
GAAACACACUCUUCGAGGAAGAAGAGAAGCUCAGCUCUGAUCCUGCCCACCGGAGUCCAUGGCACAACUUCCAGAUGGUGAUAUUCAGAUUCUUUUGAUAUUUCUCCAGCUAGGGAUAUGAAAUACAUAUGAGGGAAAAAAAAUCUUUUGCCCUGGAAAAAAAAAAAACAACCACCUCCCGAUUGCUGAGUCUCUCAUCUGAGUGCGAGGAAAGGAUGUCCAGGCACAUGUCACAAGGUCAGCUGGGGGAGACUAGAGGAGGAACACCACACGGCCACACCCCUCUCCUGUACCUCACCUUCCCUCGAAAAGACAGAGGGUGUCAGUGGGCGUCGUAGGUCCUCAGGACACGUGAGGGUCCAGUGAAUUUCUUAUUGACACAGAUGAAUCUCGGAUGGAGACAUUCGAUGGAGAAGCACUUUGAUGGUCAAGAAUUUAAAAUACUUGUGUGGACCAUUGAGAAGUUCAUGGUGGCACUGGGUGACAGGAUCUUCUUGAGCCUUUCCCUAGGUUCUUGAAUAACUGAAGUGGAACAGGAAGAGCAGGGAGGAAUUUCAAAGUUCAUGUGACUGAUUCACGGAUAAAAGCGUAAUAACGUGUUUGAGGAGUCUAAUGGCGCCAAGGAUCUCAACAGACUCCAGACCAGUGGGACAGUGCACUCACUUGUGA